rnacentral:lncRNA from 1 species
CAUUUUGAUGUCUAGAAUCAGGGGAUCCAGGAUCAUCACCAAGGUCAUUUUCCCAGAAGCUACCAACCUUUUCCAAGAAAGAGGGCCUGGCCCCCUUCUCGGGUCUGGCUGGGUGCCUGCUGUGCCUCUCUGGCCUCCCCUCCGAAGGGCACCAUUCCCUCGGACAGAUGUGCUGAGGCUGUAGAAAGUGCUUUUUAUUUGGUUGGGAGCUUGUGCAUAAAUGCGAGAGGGGCUGCACAUCUGACGGACUAGAGGUGACUCAUGGCUGAACCGGAACAGGACAUCGGGGAGAAGCCAGCAGUCAGAAUUCAGAACCCCAAAGAAAAUGACUUCAUUGAAAUUGAACUGAAGAGACAAGAACUGAGUUACCAAAACCUACUAAACGUGAGUUGCUGUGAACUGGGGAUUAAACCAGAACGAGUGGAGAAGAUCAGAAAGCUACCAAACACACUGCUCAGAAAGGACAAAGACAUUCGAAGACUGCGGGACUUUCAGGAAGUGGAACUCAUUUUAAUGAAAAAUGGAAGCUCCAGAUUGACAGAAUAUGUGCCAUCUCUGACAGAAAGGCCCUGCUAUGAUAGCAAAGCUGCAAAAAUGACUUAUUAAAUACUCCCAGGAAUGGCCGCGCAUGGUGGCUCACCCCCUGUAAUCCCAGCACUUUAGGAAGCCAAGGUGGGCAGAUCACCUGAGGUCAGGAGUUCUAGACCAGCCUGGCCAACAUAUAGUGAAACCCAGUCUCUACUAAAAAAAAUACAAAAAUUAGCUAGGUGUGGUGGCGCACACCUGUAGUAGUCCCAGCUACAUGGGAAGCUGAGGCAGGAGAAUCACCUGAACCCAGGAGGCAGAGGUUGCAGUGAGCUGAGAUUGCGCCACUGCACUCCAGCCUGGCGACAGAGCAAGACUCUGUCUCUCAAAAUAAAUAAAUAAAUAAAUAAUCAAUCCCAGGAAUUAAAAAACUGAAAUCAUUAUUUCACAAAUAAUGAAGUCUGGAUGCAUAUACCAGUUUGGCUAACUUCAUGUUUGAACUGUGAGAAAUUAUUAUGUUUCGUCAUCUCCAAUUUCUCUGGGCUGGGAGAAGAGUUAAGUUUAGGGUUUUGACAAAUAGCUAUAAAAAACAUCACAAGGUAUGAUACUUACACCAAGGGCAGUUUAUUUUGUAGAGUUGUGCCCUAAUCCUGAUGUAUGCUUUAUAAGAUUCAGUCAGGACAAAUGGCCAGAGUCUCUUCAGGUCAACCCACAUGGGCAGGGUGAGCUGAUGGUGCUAGGAAAGCCAGGACCCACUUGGCAACACAAGUUCUAUCAGUGUCCGCCCCCACUCCGCCUUUUUUUUUUUUUUUUUUUUUUUUGAGACAGAGUUUCACUCUGUUGCCUAUGCUGGAGUGCAAUGGCACGAUCUCAGCUCACUGCCAAGUUCAAGCGAUUCUCAUGCCUCAGCCUCCCAAGUAGCUGGAAUUACAGGCACACACCACCACGCCCAGCUAAUUUUUGUAUUUUUAGUAGAGAUGGGGUUUCACCAUGUUGCCCAGGCUGGUCUUGAACUCCUGACCUAAGGUGAUCCACCCGCCUCAGCCUCCCAAAGUACUGGGAUUACAGGUGUGAGCCACUGUGCUCAGGUCCCCCAACCCUUUUUUCUUUUUCUGAGACGGGAUUCUUGCUCUGUCGUCCAGGCUGGAGUGCAGUGGCGCGAUCUCGGUUCACUGCAACCUCUGCCUCCUGGGUUCAAGGGAUUCUCCUGCCUCAGCCUCCUGAGUCGCUGGGACUAUAGGCAUGUGCCACCACACCUGGCUAAUUUUUGUAUUUUUAGUGGAGAUGGGGUUUCACCAUGUUGGCCAGGAUGGCCUCGAACUGACCCCAAGUGAUCUCUUGGCCUCCCAAAGUGCUGGGAUUACAGGCGUAAGCCACUGUGCCCGGCCAAUUGUCCUCAUUUUUAAACGUGUCCCAUACUAUCACUUCCUGUUUACACCUUUUUAAACUCAUCUACAAAAUGGCAUGAUAUCUGAGUUGAGUAAAUAACUCCUUUUUUUUUUUUUCUUUUUUGAGAGGGAGUCUUACUCUGUGACCCAGGCUGGAGUGCAGUGGCGCGAUCUCGGCUUACUGCAACCUCCGCCACCCGGGUUCAAGCGAUUCUCCUGCCUCAGCCUCUCAAGUGGCUGGGAUUACAGGCAUGCUCCAAAAUGCCUGGCUAAUUUUGGUAAUUUUAGUAGAGAUGGGGUUUCGCCAUGUUGGACAGGUUGGUCUCAAACUCCUGACCUCAAGUGAUCCGCCCGCCUCGGCCUCCCAAAGUGCUGGGAUUACAGGUGUGAGGCACCGCAUCUGUCCAAGUAUUUUUUAAAUUUUAUUUUUUAAGACGAGGUCUUGGCCGGGCGCAGUGGCUCACACCUGUAAUCCCAGCUACUCAGGAGGCUGAGGCAGGAGAAUCGCUUGAACCUGGGAGGUAGAGGUUGCAAUGAGCCCAGAUUGCGCCACUGCACUCCAGCCUGGGAGACAGAGCAAGUCUCCGUUUAAAAAAAAAAAAAAAAAGACGAGGUCUCACUAUGUUGGCCAGGCUGGUCUGGAACUCCUGGGCUCAAGUGAUCCUCCCACCUCGGCCUCCCAAAGUGCUAGGAUUACAGAGGUGGCCACCAUGCCCAGCCAAUAACGAUUAAUACCUUUGAGGCUAUUUUUAACAUACCACUUACAGAACAGGCGAGGCACAGCCCAUGCCACUGGUCUGUGAAAUAAGCUGAAAAACCAGCUGGUGCCCUCACUAACAUCUAAAGUGAGCUGUCAUCACAUCCCAUGCUACAUUCCUCCCUAACACACUCCCUAGGAUCCUUCCGGGUCAGCUCCCUUGCCAAAUUCUAGUUAAUAACUCUGCUUGCACCUUGUACGGGCUCAUGCAAUGGCUUGACCCUAUCUACCCACUUUUAUUCACACACACCACACUGUCACUUCUUUACACACCUGUUCCUCCUAGACCACGAAGUCAUCUCUAAAGCUUGUGGGAGAGGUAUACAUAAAAUACCAGAACUCCUUAUGGCCAAGCAUAAUGUCUUACUUGCAUCCCAGCACAUGCCAUUAGCCACUGUUCCUUCAACUCCAAUUUCUCAGUAGCUCAACUUUGAUGAAGGGCAGCGGACACAUAGGCAGCACGUCAAGACUUCCCUUAUCCAACUGUUCAAAACAGAGAAAAAUGGUUCCAAUAGUAAGAAGUGUCCUGUUUCAUUCAGAAACGUCAUGUGGGACCAUCUGCAACUUGCUUAGUUAGCAUUUGCGGCCUCCUGUAACAAGGUGACAGAAGCACUUCAGGUCAGCAUCUAAAUUGCUUAUUUUUUUUUAAUUUUGAGCCACCAGGCCCAGCCUAUUUUUUAUUUUUUUUGAGACAGUCUCGCUGUGUCACCCAGGCUGGAGUGCAGUGGUGUGAUCUCAGCUCACUGCAACCUCCGCCUCCCAGGUUCAAGUAAUUCUCCUGCCUCAGCCUCCCAAGUAGCUGGGACUACAGUGCCCACCACCACACCCAGCUAAUUUUUUUUUUUUUUUUAGUAGAGACAGGGUUUCACUAUGUUGGCCAGGCAGGUCUUGAACUCCUGACCUCAUGAUCCGACUGCCUUGGCCUCCCAAAGUGCUGGGAUUACAAGUGUGAGCCACCGCGCCCGGCCAAUUCCACUGAUUCUAAAAUGGCCUUAAGUGAAAUUAAUCACGUACCAAAAUGCCAUCCUAAGAAGUCCCAGAACUAUUUAGGUUAAAAUAAAAUAUGAAAUGACCUAGAAUUCUUAGUUGUUCAUUAACUCUGCACUUUCAACUAAUAGGGUGAUUAGUAACUCAACAGCACCACCCCUUUCCACUCCCCUUUCAGAAGUCCUGUGUACAAGGCACAGCCCUGAGGGUGCCACUGCUGCAGUGAGGACAGAUUCCAUAGCGGAGGGACCUGGAGCUGCACCUAUUUUGUUCUUGGUGUAUCCAAAGGUAUCAGUCACUCCACAGCACAUAGGAGCACUCGGGGAUGUGUUGGAUGAACUCACAGCCAAGCCCUAUGCUCAUACUGAGGGGAUCCAAGUCUCACCUGGAGCAUAGUUGAGGGGUAACAGGGCUGCUGUAAACUGACGUAGGGCCUUAGUUAUAUGAACCUUAUGAAUCUGCCAAUUCAAAUUUCAGUCACUUUCCUCUUUUUAAAGAGUAAACAUUUUUGUGUUCACAGUACCCCUACUAAAAUUAGAACAAGGCCAAAGCAGCAGCCUCUCUGAGGUAACAACCUAACUUGGGCCAGGGGAAGGAGUACAGCACAGUAAAGCAGUUUUCUUUCCCAGAAUGGCAUAAGCCUGAGAAAAGCUUCUUUGGAAGCUGUUUAGACAGGAAAACAAAACCAUCAGCUCCCUGGCUGGCAGACAAGUAGAAACUAUGUUAAGAUGAAAAUAAGGUAUCACACAGAAAACAUACAUUUAGGUUUCUUUUUUUUUUUUUUUUUUUUUUUUUUUGAGACGGAGUCUUGCUCUUGUCGCCGUUUCUAGCUUUUUAAGAGUUACAAUUAAGACCUCAAUUUGAAGACUGGGCGCGGUGGCUCAUACCUGUAAUCCCAGCACUUUGGGAGGCCAGGGUGGGCCUGAUCAUUUGAGGUCAGGAGUUUUGAGACCAGCCUGGACAACAUGGUGAAACACUCUACUAAAAAUACAAAAAAAUGAGCCAGGUGUGGUGGUGCGAAGCUGUAAUCCCAGCUACUUGGGAGGCUGAGGCACGAGAAUGGCUUGAACCCAGGAGGCGAAAGAUGCAGUGAGCUGAGCUCGUGCCACUGCACUCCAGCCUGGGUGACAAGACAGAGACCCUGUCUCAAACAAAAUAAAACCUUAAAUUGGGCACUCAAGAAACAGCAUCUUUAAAUUUGUCACUGACUGAUGGUUAAUUUUACGAAAUACACUACAGCUUAUAUAUUAGUAACUACCUACACCAAGACUUUUUUCCCAUUCUUCUUUUUAAAUUUUAUUAAGAAAUAUCAUACAUACAAAAGCACAUAAACAUACAGAUUAAAAA